ACGGGAGGCAGCAGUGAGGAAUAUUGGUCAAUGGGCGAGAGCCUGAACCAGCCAAGUAGCGUGCAGGAUGACGGCCCUAUGGGUUGUAAACUGCUUUUAUAAGGGAAUAAAGUGACGUACGUGUACGUUUUUGCAUGUACCUUAUGAAUAAGGACCGGCUAAUUCCGUGCCAGCAGCCGCGGUAAUACGGAAGGUCCGGGCGUUAUCCGGAUUUAUUGGGUUUAAAGGGAGCGUAGGCUGUCUGUUAAGCGUGUUGUGAAAUGUCGCGGCUCAACCGGGGCACUGCAGCGCGAACUGGCAGACUUGAGUGCGGUGGAAGUAGGCGGAAUUCGUCGUGUAGCGGUGAAAUGCUUAGAUAUGACGAAGAACUCCGAUUGCGAAGGCAGCUUACUGUAGCGUAACUGACGCUGAAGCUCGAAAGUGCGGGUAUCGAACAGGAUUAGAUACCCUGGUA
rnacentral:rRNA from 1 species